CCUACGGGGGGCUGCAGUGGGGAAUAUUGGACAAUGGGGGCAACCCUGAUCCAGCCAUGCCGCGUGUGUGAAGAAGGCCCUCGGGUUGUAAAGCACUUUCAGUGAGGAAGAACGCUGGUGGUUAAUACCCAUCAGGAAAGACAUCACUCACAGAAGAAGCACCGGCUAACUCCGUGCCAGCAGCCGCGGUAAUACGGAGGGUGCGAGCGUUAAUCGGAAUUACUGGGCGUAAAGCGCGCGUAGGUGGCUUGAUAAGCCGGUUGUGAAAGCCCCGGGCUCAACCUGGGAACGGCAUCCGGAACUGUCAAGCUAGAGUGCAGGAGAGGAAGGUAGAAUUCCCGGUGUAGCGGUGAAAUGCGUAGAGAUCGGGAGGAAUACCAGUGGCGAAGGCGGCCUUCUGGACUGACACUGACACUGAGGUGCGAAAGCGUGGGUAGCAAACAGGAUUAGAUACCCCUGUAGUC
rnacentral:rRNA from 1 species